rnacentral:rRNA from 1 species
UACGGGGGGGGCAAGCGUUGUUCGGAAUUACUGGGCGUAAAGGGCUCGUAGGCGGCCAACUAAGUCAGACGUGAAAUCCCUCAGCUUAACUGGGGAACUGCGUCUGAUACUGGAUGGCUUGAGUUUGGGAGAGGGAUGCGGAAUUCCAGGUGUAGCGGUGAAAUGCGUAGAUAUCUGGAGGAACACCGGUGGCGAAGGCGGCAUCCUGGACCAACACUGACACUGAGGAGCGAAAGCCAGGGGAGCAAACAGG